AGUGAACGCUGGCGGUAGGCCUAACACAUGCAAGUCGAACGGCAGCACAGUAAGAGCUUGCUCUUACGGGUGGCGAGUGGCGGACGGGUGAGGAAUACAUCGGAAUCUACUUUUUCGUGGGGGAUAACGUAGGGAAACUUACGCUAAUACCGCAUACGACCUACGGGUGAAAGCAGGGGAUCUUCGGACCUUGCGCGAUUGAAUGAGCCGAUGUCGGAUUAGCUAGUGGGCGGGGUAAAGGCCCACCAAGGCGACGAUCCGUAGCUGGUCUGAGAGGAUGGUAAGCCACACUGGAACUGAGACACGGUCCAGACUCCUACGGGAGGCAGCAGUGGGGAAUAUUGGACAAUGGGCGCAAGCCUGAUCCAGCCAUACCGCGUGGGUGAAGAAGGCCUUCGGGUUGUAAAGCCCUUUUGUUGGGAAAGAAAAGCAGCAGGUUAAUACCCCGCUGUUCUGACGGUACCCAAAGAAUAAGCACCGGCUAACUUCGUG
rnacentral:rRNA from 1 species